GUGCUCUAGGGGGUGAAAGAGUCCCUGAUAUUUAAUUAACAUCCAUCCGUUUCACUUUGUCAGCAGUAUUGUUUGGUUUCUUGCUGAUCAUUAGAGGGUGGAAUAUUA
rnacentral:snoRNA from 13 species